rnacentral:misc_RNA from 1 species
UGCAGCACGUAGGCUCCGGUACCCUGGAUCGGCUGCCCCAGAGGCAGAGCGUGAUGGGGAUCGAAGUCCCGCGGGAUGCGACAGCAGGCGGUAAAGGUCGUAUUUUCGGUGGGCCCAUAGCCGUUGAUGACCUCGACCUCGGGAAGCGCCGCAUAAACCCGCGCGACGGCCUGCGGGUCCAGGAUGUCGCCACCGGCCAGCACCCACCUCAGCUCGCUCGAGCGGGGGAGCUGAUGGCUCCAUUGCUCGAACAGGCCUGCCGUCAGCCA